rnacentral:rRNA from 1 species
GACGAACGCUGGCGGCGUGCUUAACACAUGCAAGUCGAACGGAAAGGCCUCUUGCUUGCAAGGGGUGCUCGAGUGGCGAACGGGUGAGUAACACGUGGGUGAUCUGCCUUGUACUCUGGGAUAAGCUUGGGAAACUGGGUCUAAUACCGGAUAGGAACUGCCUUUAGUGUGGUGGUUGGAAAGUUUUUUCGGUGCAAGAUGAGCUCGCGGCCUAUCAGCUUGUUGGUGGGGUAAUGGCCUACCAAGGCGUCGACGGGUAGCCGGCCUGAGAGGGUGUACGGCCACAUUGGGACUGAGAUACGGCCCAGACUCCUACGGGAGGCAGCAGUGGGGAAUAUUGCACAAUGGGCGGAAGCCUGAUGCAGCGACGCCGCGUGGGGGAUGACGGCCUUCGGGUUGUAAACUCCUUUCGACAGGGACGAAGCGCAAGUGACGGUACCUGUAUAAGAAGCACCGGCUAACUACGUGCCAGCAGCCGCGGUAAUACGUAGGGUGCGAGCGUUGUCCGGAAUUACUGGGCGUAAAGAGCUCGUAGGUGGUUUGUCGCGUCGUCUGUGAAAUUCCGGGGCUUAACUCCGGGCGUGCAGGCGAUACGGGCAUAACUUGAGUGCUGUAGGGGAGACUGGAAUUCCUGGUGUAGCGGUGAAAUGCGCAGAUAUCAGGAGGAACACCGAUGGCGAAGGCAGGUCUCUGGGCAGUUACUGACGCUGAGGAGCGAAAGCAUGGGUAGCGAACAGGAUUAGAUACCCUGGUAGUCCAUGCCGUAAACGGUGGGCGCUAGGUGUAGGGGGCUUCCACGUCUUCUGUGCCGUAGCUAACGCAUUAAGCGCCCCGCCUGGGGAGUACGGCCGCAAGGCUAAAACUCAAAGGAAUUGACGGGGGCCCGCACAAGCGGCGGAGCAUGUGGAUUAAUUCGAUGCAACGCGAAGAACCUUACCUGGGCUUGACAUACACCAGAUCGCUGCAGAGAUGUAGUUUCCCUUGUGGUUGGUGUACAGGUGGUGCAUGGUUGUCGUCAGCUCGUGUCGUGAGAUGUUGGGUUAAGUCCUGCAACGAGCGCAACCCUUGUCUUAUGUUGCCAGCAUUUUGGUUGGGGACUCAUGAGAGACUGCCGGGGUUAACUCGGAGGAAGGUGGGGAUGGCGUCAAAUCAUCAUGCCCCUUAUGUCCAGGGCUUCACACAUGCUACAAUGGUCGGUACAACGCGCAGCGGCACUGUGAGGUGGAGCGAAUCGCUGAAAGCCGGUCUUAGUUCGGAUUGGGGUCUGCAACUCGACCCCAUGAAGUCGGAGUCGCUAGUAAUCGUAGAUCAGCAAUGCUGCGGUGAAUACGUUCCCGGGCCU